CUCCUCCUCCUCCUCCUCCUCCUCCUCCUCUCAUCCGUCUCCUCACUUAUUCAAAUGUCAGCGUCUGAAUCGUCUCAGUUACAGGUUCUGUUCGGUCCGACAGAGGAGAGGCUGAGAUGACUGAUAGAGCAGCAUCCGCCUGUUGCCUCGGAAACUUGGUGAAAAGAGGAGGAGGAGGAGGAGGAGGAGGAGGAG